AUUGAACGCUGGCGGCAUGCCUUACACAUGCAAGUCGAACGGUAACAGGUCUUCGGAUGCUGACGAGUGGCGAACGGGUGAGUAAUACAUCGGAACGUGCCCGAUCGUGGGGGAUAACGGAGCGAAAGCUUUGCUAAUACCGCAUACGAUCUACGGAUGAAAGCAGGGGACCGCAAGGCCUUGCGCGGACGGAGCGGCCGAUGGCAGAUUAGGUAGUUGGUGGGAUAAAAGCUUACCAAGCCGACGAUCUGUAGCUGGUCUGAGAGGACGACCAGCCACACUGGGACUGAGACACGGCCCAGACUCCUACGGGAGGCAGCAGUGGGGAAUUUUGGACAAUGGGCGAAAGCCUGAUCCAGCCAUGCCGCGUGCAGGAUGAAGGCCUUCGGGUUGUAAACUGCUUUUGUACGGAACGAAAAGACUCUUUCUAAUAAAGAGGGUCCAUGACGGCACCGUAAGAAUAAGCACCGGCUAACUACGUG
rnacentral:rRNA from 1 species